rnacentral:rRNA from 1 species
ACUCAAAGGAAUUGACGGGGGCCCGCACAAGCGGUGGAACAUGUGGUUCAAUUCGACGCAACGCGAAGAACCUUACCUGGGCUCGAAGCGUGCCUGACCAGGUUGAGAAAUCAGCCCUUCCCGCAAGGGACAGGUACGGAGGUGCUGCAUGGCUGUCGUCAGCUCGUGCCGUGAGGUGUUGGGUUAAGUCCCGCAACGAGCGCAACCCUUAUCCUUAGUUGCCACCCGCAAGGGGGAACUCUAAGGAGACUGCUCCGGACAACGGAGAGGAAGGUGGGGAUGACGUCAAGUCAGCAUGGCCUUUAUGUCCAGGGCUACACACGUGUUACAAUGCGCGCCACAAAGUGUCGCGAACCCGCGAGGGGGAGCUAAUCGCAAAAAAGCGCGCUCAGUUCGGAUUGCAGUCUGCAACUUGACUGCAUGAAGCCGGAAUCGCUAGUAAUGGCGCAUCAGCACGGCGCCGUGAAUACGUUCCCGGGCCUUGUACACACCGCCCGU